AUACUUACUCGCACAGGCUUUACAGUGAUCCUCAAGUAAGGUUGUGGGCCCGGGCGAGACCUUCCAUUGCACAUCGGUUUGUUAUUGACUCUCGCGAUCGUCCUAAAUGUGAAUGACUCAAGCAACAUGGGUGUAGACUGCGUUCGCGCCUCCUAAAC